GGAAGCGUGCCUGAAAGAUAAGGACCUCCU
rnacentral:tRNA from 1 species